rnacentral:rRNA from 1 species
GCUUACGGCCACGACGCCUGCUUAAUGCCCGAUCUCGUUUGAUCUCGGAAGCUAAGAUAGGUUGGGCCUGGUUAGUACUUGGAUGGGAGACCGCCUGGGAAUACCAGGUGCUGUAAGCU